CAUGUGGUUUAAUUCGAUGCAACGCGAAGAACCUUACCUACUCUUGACAUCCAGCGAAUCCUUUAGAGAUAGAGGAGUGCCUUCGGGAACGCUGAGACAGGUGCUGCAUGGCUGUCGUCAGCUCGUGUUGUGAAAUGUUGGGUUAAGUCCCGCAACGAGCGCAACCCUUAUCCUUUGUUGCCAGCACGUAAUGGUGGGAACUCAAAGGAGACUGCCGGUGAUAAACCGGAGGAAGGUGGGGAUGACGUCAAGUCAUCAUGGCCCUUACGAGUAGGGCUACACACGUGCUACAAUGGCAGAUACAAAGAGAAGCGACCUCGCGAGAGCAAGCGGAACUCAUAAAGUCUGUCGUAGUCCGGAUUGGAGUCUGCAACUCGACUCCAUGAAGUCGGAAUCGCUAGUAAUCGUAGAUCAGAAUGCUACGGUGAAUACGUUCCCGGGCCUUGUACACACCGCCCGUA
rnacentral:rRNA from 1 species